UACGAAGGGGGCUAGCGUUGCUCGGAAUGACUGGGCGUAAAGGGCGCGUAGGCGGCACACACAGUCAGACGUGAAAUUCCUGGGCUUAACCUGGGGGCUGCGUUUGAUACAUGUGAGCUAGAGGAUGGAAGAGGCUCGUGGAAUUCCCAGUGUAGAGGUGAAAUUCGUAGAUAUUGGGAAGAACACCGGUGGCGAAGGCGGCGAGCUGGUCCAUUACUGACGCUGAGGCGCGAAAGCGUGGGGAGCAAACAGG
rnacentral:rRNA from 1 species